rnacentral:rRNA from 1 species
AUUGAACGCUGGCGGCAGGCCUAACACAUGCAAGUCGAACGAGUGGCGGACGGGUGCGUAAUGUCUGGGAAACUGCUUGAUGGAGGGGGAUAACUACUGGAAACGGUAGCUAAUACCGCAUACCAUCAGAUGUGCCCAGAUGGGAUUAGCUUGUUGGUGGGGUAACGGAUAACCAAGGCGACGCUCCCUAGCUGGUCGUAGAGGAUGAUCAGCCACACUGGAACUGAGACACGGUCCAGACUCCAUCGGGAGGCAGCAGAGAGGAAUAUUGCACCAUGGGCGCAAGCCUAAUGCAGACAUGCCGAGUGUAGGAAGAAGGCCUUCGGGUCGUAAAGUACUUUCAGCGGGAAGGCGUUACCCGCAGAAGAAGCACCGGCUAACUCCGUGCCAGCCGCCGCGGUAAUAC